AUACGUAGGGGGCGAGCGUUGUCCGGAUUUACUGGGUGUAAAGGGCGUGUAGGCGGAGAUGCAAGUCAGGAGUGAAAUCUAGGGGCUCAACCCCUAAACUGCUUUUGAAACUGUAUCCCUUGAGUAUCGGAGAGGCAGGCGGAAUUCCUAGUGUAGCGGGGAAAUGCGUAGAUAUUAGGAGGAACACCAGUGGCGAAGGCGGCCCGCGGGACGACAACUGACGCUGAGGCGCGAAAGCGUGGGGAGCAAACAGGAUUAGAUACCCUUGUAGUCCACGCUGUAAACGAUGAUGACUAGGUGUGGGGGGACUGAACCCUUCCGUGCCGCAGUUAACACAAUAAGUCAUCCACCUGGGGAGUACGGCCGCAAGGUUGAAACUCAAGGGAAUUGACGGG
rnacentral:rRNA from 1 species